rnacentral:rRNA from 1 species
UACGAAGGGGGCUAGCGUUGUUCGGAAUUACUGGGCGUAAAGCGCGCGUAGGCGGUUUUGCAAGCCAGAGGUGAAAUGCCUGAGCUCAACUUAGGAAUUGCCUUUGGGACUGCGAGGCUUUGAGGACGGGAGAGGUGAGUGGAACUCCUAGUGUAGAGGUGGAAUUCGUAGAUAUUAGGAAGAACACCAGUGGCGAAGGCGGCUCACUGGUCCGGUACUGACGCUGAUGUGCGAAAGCGUGGGGAGCAAACAGG